CAUUUACGACAUUUUGUCAAAUAAUAUUUGUUGUUGUUUGUAAUUAUUUUCUCUGUCUAUUGACAUAUGUUUCACAGGUGUACACGAAAAUAACUUUAGGUAUGCCACGCUCCAUACAAAAAGGUUCGAACUCUUUU